UAGCCAUGGGGUUUGUGGUUACAGCUGUUAACUUUCAUUGUAACUCGGAUCUUGCUUGCUUUUGAAUACAAAAAGGCCCUUCUGUCUACCUUGGAACUUGCAGCAGUAAGGUAUGGACCAUAAAUUUAUGAUCGAAUACAUGUUUUGGUCCGACCGCCCGCCAGCCGUUACCCGCCGCCCAGGCUAACCAUCUCGCCUGAAAGAGGUAAGCUACUGAUUUGAAAUGCUUUGAUACUUACAGUUAUCUUUUUAACCAUAGAUGUUUCUAAUUCGAAUACAUGUUUUGGUCCGAUUUGAUUUAAUUGAUUUUGUGAUUUAGUAGAUUUAGCCAUGGGGUUUGUGGUUACAUCUCUUAACUUUCAUUGUAACUCGGAUCUUGCUUGCUUUUGAAUACAAAAAGGCCCUUCUGUCAACCUGUAUGCUUCCAUUUUUUUGUUUUUGCUUCAUAUUUAGUAAUAGUUUUGUUGUUUUUGUGAUGAAGGUUAUUUUGGUGGACCUGUAUUCGAUUUAAUCCCUAUCAACGUUCCUAAUACAAUCCUGAUUUGAAUAUUGAUAACUAUUUAGUGUUUUGUUGUGUGAGGAUCUAGAAGUAUACGUUUUCUACUGAAAUUGGUUUAAUUAUACAACCAUACAAGCAUGGCUGAGGUUCUAGCGUAUUUCACGCAAACAUUGAUACCUGUUUCGAAACCGACAUGGACAUCCAAUCUUAGCUCUGAAGAUGUGUUGUCCGAAGUCGUGUUAUAUACCACGCAACCAUCAAUACCGGAGUGGACGGAGCGUGUCUGGGGUCCAUACCGGCGAAGACGGAGCGUAUCUGGAUCUUUAUCCCCCAUGCCUAACCAGUUUCUAAGAGGGUGAUCCCAGCAUUAGUUUUUGAUUCCCACGAACAUCCCAUAAAGGUUCUGGUUCUAUAAAUGGCUUCGACCUCAUCUCUAAAGACGAAAUAACAUAAAUAUGUCUAAUAGUUAAUAUAGAGGUAAAGAGGUGUGCAAAUGUGCCAGUUCGGUAAAUUUUUAAGCUGUAGCUGUAUCUGUGCCCGCUAGGUUUGUUUAAGAAAUUUUCUUAAACAUAACUGGACCUCGGUUCGGUUAAUGGCGAUUAUGAGAUUCGGUUAUGGUUCGGUUUAGGUUGGUUUUAGUUCCUUAACCAAUCUAACUUUGAACUCAAUUUAAAAUAAAUAA